GUGCUCACUUGGGGAGCACAUAUACAAAAACCAGAAUGAUUAGCAUGAUUUCUGCAUAAUGAUGACAUGCAAAUUAGUGGUGUUGUCUAUGUUUAU
ensembl:snRNA U6 U6 spliceosomal RNA